rnacentral:lncRNA from 1 species
GAUCAAGAGGUCGAUCAGGAGCGACUCCAUGGUCACAAAUCCACGGAUGACCUGGUCAGGCGCUCCUUGGGGCGAGGAUUCAACAUUCUUCUUAUAAGAUCCUUUGCACUAUCAGAAAUCACAGGCCAGGGAUCGGAAUCAAAAUCAAUUACACCUUUUAACACUGCAUCAAAUAUCCCUUGCUGCGUCUCUGCAUUAAAUAUAGUACAGGUCAGCUUAGACGAGCUUGAAGAACACAGACAAGCCGAAAUCGAUGGCCUUGAGCGACAAAUCGUCGUCUUUAUUCGCCAGCAAGAAGUUCUCGGGCUUGAGAUCCCUAUGGAUAACCCCGAGCGAGUGGCACGCCUCGAUGACACCAACGAUGAUUCGCGUGAGCUCGGCCGCUUUGCGCUCGCUGAAUUGCCCGCGCUCGAUGAUGCGGUCGAACAGCUCGCCCCCGGCGCAGAGCUCCAUCACAAUGUGAACGUACUGCGGGUCCUCGUAGGCGCCCUUGAUGGCGACGACGUUCCGGUGGCCCGCGAGGUGGUGCAUGAUCUGGAUCUCGCGGCGGACGUCCUCGACGUCCUCCUUGGUGAUGAGCUUCCGCUUGGCUAUGGACUUGCAGGCGUAGUCCACCCCGGUGGCGAGGUCGGUGCAGAGGUAGGUGGUGCCGAACUGCCCCUGCCCGAGCUUGCGCCCGAGCGCUGCUCGCUCAGGCUCGGGGUCGGGUGCCCGAGCACGUUGGCCGUCAGCUCCGCGGGCGCGGGCGCCCCGCGCUUCAUGGACGCGGCGUGCGGCGCGUCCGCCGCCGCCGCAGAACCGCGCGGGGCCUUCUUCACGGCCGGCUCAUCGGCGGCGGCGGCGGCGGCGCUGGUGGCGACGGGCGCGUACCCCGCCUCAUCAUGCCGCUGCGACGCGCCGCGGAAGCUGGCGAAGUACUUGGAUCUAAGCGUGACGCCGCACGUGUUCCCCAUCACGCGCUGA